rnacentral:tRNA from 2 species
CGCGGAGAUAGAGCUACGGUGCGCUCGGCAGUCUCAUAAGCUGUCAUUUACCAGGUUCAACUCCUGGCUCCGCAACCA